rnacentral:rRNA from 1 species
GACGAACGCUGGCGGCGUGCUUAACACAUGCAAGUCGAGCGGAGCGGCGAACGGGUGAGUAAAGCGUGAGUAACUGCCCCCCUCUCUGGGGUAACAGUUGGAAACGGCGGCUAAUACCGGAUAGUGGGGGAUGACUCGCGUCCUAUCAGCUUGUUGGUGGGGUAGUGGCCGACCCAGGCGACGACGGGUAGCCGGCCUGAGAGGGCGACCGGCCACCUUGGGCUGAGAUAGGGCCCAAACUCGUACUGUAGACAUCAGUGGGUAAUAUUGCACAAUGGGGGAAACCCUGAUGCAGCAACGCGCGUGCGGGAUGUCGUUCUUCGGAUUGUAAACCGCUUUCAGCCAUGACGCGGUAGUGGCAGAAGAAGCACCGGCUAACUACGUGCCAGCCGCCGCGGUAAUAC